rnacentral:rRNA from 1 species
CCUGCCCUUUGUACACACCGCCCGUCGCUACUACCGAAUUGAAUGGCUCAGUGAGGCGUCCGGACUGGCCCAGAGAGGUGGGCAACUACCACUCAGGGCCGGAAAGCUCUCCAAACUCGGUCAUUUAGAGGAAGUAAAAGUCGUAACAAGGUCUCCGUUGGUGAACCAGCGGAGGGAUCAUUA